UGCCAUCCUGAAAACAUCGGUUCUCGUCCGAUCACCGAAGUUAAGUAUCAUCGGGCGAGGUCAGUUCUUGAGAGGACGACCACCUGGGAGCCCCAAGUGCGGU